UACGUAGGUGGCAAGCGUUGUCCGGAAUUAUUGGGCGUAAAGAGUGCGUAGGUGGUUACCUAAGCGCAAGGUUUAAUCUUGAGGCUCAACCUCAUUCUGCCUUGCGAACUGGGCUACUUGAGUGCAGGAGAGGUAAGCGGAAUUCCUAGUGUAGCGGUGAAAUGCGUAGAUAUUAGGAGGAACACCAGUGGCGAAGGCGGCUUACUGGACUGUAACUGACGCUGAGUCACGAAAGCGUGGGUAGCAAACAGGAUUAGAUACCCCCGUAGUCCCU
rnacentral:rRNA from 1 species